rnacentral:rRNA from 1 species
AUGCUAAUACGGGAUAAUAUAUUUGAGAGGCAUCUCUUGAAUAUCAAAGGUGAGCCAGUACAGGAUGGACCCGCGUCUGAUUAGCUAGUUGGUAAGGUAACGGCUUACCAAGGCGACGAUCAGUAGCCGACCUGAGAGGGUGAUCGGCCACAUUGGAACUGAGACACGGUCCAAACUCCUACGGGAGGCAGCAGUGGGGAAUAUUGCACAAUGGGCGAAAGCCUGAUGCAGCAACGCCGCGUGAGUGAUGAAGGCCUUCGGGUCGUAAAACUCUGUCCUCAAGGAAGAUAAUGACGGUACUUGAGGAGGAAGCCCCGGCUAACUACGUGCCAGCAGCCGCGGUAAUACGUAGGGGGCUAGCGUUAUCCGGAUUUACUGGGCGUAAAGGGUGCGUAGGCGGUCUUUCAAGUCAGGAGUGAAAGGCUACGGCUCAACCGUAGUAAGCUCUUGAAACUGGGAGACUUGAGUGCAGGAGAGGAGAGUGGAAUUCCUAGUGUAGCGGUGAAAUGCGUAGAUAUUAGGAGGAACACCAGUUGCGAAGGCGGCUCUCUGGACUGUAACUGACGCUGAGGCACGAAAGCGUGGGGAGCAAACAGGAUUAGAUACCCUGGUAGUCCACGCUGUAAACGAUGAGUACUAGGUGUCGGGGGUUACCCCC